AAUAUACCCAGCUGAUGAAAGCUUUGAAAAACUGAGUAUAAUUCCUUAUUAAAAUUAAAAGCACAACCUGUUUUUUUUGUUUGUUUGUUUUUUUGUUCAAGCGAUUCUCCUGCCUCAUCCUUCGAAAUAGCUGGGAUAACAGGCUUGUGUCACCAUGCCUGGCUAAUUUUUGUAUUUUUAGUAGAGACGGGGUUUCACCAUGUUACUCAGGCUGGUCUCAAACUCCUGACCUCAGUGAUCCACUCGCCUCCGUCUUCGAAAUUGCUGGGAUUACAGGCGUGAGCCACCAUGCCCAGCCGACCUGUUAUUUUUGAAAGAAAGCUAACUUUAGGGAACUCAGUAUUUGCAUGGCACCAAAUUAUCACCCCAGGAUGACUAGCGAAUUGACAAAGGGAAAAUAUAUCUUAAUAGUAAAGAGAAUUGUGGUUGCCAUUACCUUAAUUUGGGAAUCAAACUUGGCAUCACUAAUAGUGAGAAAACCAGGCUCAAUGUGAUCCUGAUGCCAUGCACUAUGUUUUUAAAAUUUUUAUUAAAAAUUUUUUUUGUGAGAGAGCCUCUCGGUCUGUCACCCAGGUUGGAGGGCAGUGGCAUGAUCACAGCUCACUACAGCCUCCAACUCCUGGGCUCAAGCAUGAUCCUCUCAUCUCAGUUUCUUGAGUAGCUGAGACUACAGGUGUGAGCCACCAUGCCUGGCUGCUGCCAUGCAGUAUGAAGGAGAUAGCCUCAUCUAUGAGUAUUCUUCAAAAUGUGUAACCUGAAUCAAGUCAAGACUUUAGGUGUGUAGGCUAUACAGAGGAUGGAGGAACAAGUUAAGCCACUUUAAAGAAAGAAUCAAAAAGUCUAGAACUGGGGCCUUCUAUAAGACAGGCUUAGUACAGUACAAAAAAGUGAUGAAGACCAGGACUGGUUUUUUUUGUUUGUUUGUUUUGUUUUUUUUUAAGGCCUGGCCUUUUAAAAAAGUCAAUAGCAUGAGAAAAGGGGAAACAGGGCUGGGCUCUGGAUUAAAAAAGAUGGACGACAUGACAAUUGUCACAUGUGUUCCUUGAUUAGAUUCAAAAUUGGAAAAAAACUCUACAUAUACUGAGUUGAUCAUUAUACAAUUCUACAUGCAUUGAAACAUCACACUGUACUCCAUAAGAAUGUGCAAUUAUUAUGUAGCAAUUAUAAAUAAAAAUUAAUUUUAAAACAGUAUGUUCUUAAAAACCCUAUAAAACCAUGAUAAUCAUUUGAAUAUGGACUGCGUAUUAUAUGAUAUUAAGGAAUUACUGUGAAUUUAUUAAGUGGCAUAUAUUGGUAUUUGGUUAUGUUAAAAAGGUGUCCUCAUUUUUUUUUAAAUGUAUGCUGAAGUACUGGAGGGUGAUUGAUUUUAAAAUGGUCUAGCAACCACAAAAAAACAGAUGAAGCAAAGAUGGCAAAAUAAUAACAAUUAUUAAUUAAAUGUAUUGGGUUA
rnacentral:lncRNA from 1 species